CCUACGUCUGAUGUUGAGACUCAGAACUUCAAAUAGCUGUGAAUGUUAGUCCAGAGAGAAAUUCAUCAUGUGAAUUUCCUCUGAGAAUUACCGUCCUUGACUUCCUGGAGGAAUCGAUUACUUGUUGUAGAAGAAAAAGGCAGAGAACAGCCCAGGCACCCUGAAGUAGGAGAACGAGAACAGUAAACCUGAUGGUGGAUGGUUUUUCCCCUCAACUGAAGAAGGGUCCUGCAGACACAUCCUAUACCUGCACACAGGUACCAGACACUGCAGAAUUGCUGUGGAAUGGAAAUUUCACAAAACUAAACCGGCCUGGAUGAGUUGUUGAGGUUGGCCUUAAACUUGAAAUCCUCCUGCCUCAGCCUCCCAAGCUGAUGGGAUUACAAAGCAACAAAGACAAGAAGAAGAAAAGCCCUUCUGAGUAGGAAAUUCACCAGGAUUUCAAUGAUGUGGGAAUAUAAAAUUGCACUUGGGUAUGUGAUGAAAAAAGAUGAGACUGGAAGUAUUUAGGUUCCCUCAAACAUUAACCUGCAAUGAGAUCAUCUGGGCUCUUGCUGAAAUGUAGACUGAUUACUCAAGUGUGAAACGAGACCUGAAAUGCUGCAUUUCUGAGAAGGCCUCAGUGCUGCUGGUGCUGUUAGACCUCACUGAGUAAGCACAUCCAGAGCAGGGAGUGGAAAUUUCCCAGGUCUGAGGAACAGGUGCACCAAGCAGAGCCCUGAUAGUGGGAUGUGCUAGAGAGCUUCCCACUGUGAGAGGAUGUUGCCAAAUGGGGGUGGGGGGAGGGGAGAGCCCACUGUGGCCAAAUCCUCACUUUAGUAUCCAGGAGAAAUAGAAAGUUAUUAUUUGGACUUUCAAAUACAAUCCUAACAACCAAAAAAAAAUUUUUUUAAAUGUUAAUCUGGUGGGGUUUUAGUCCUGUGUAAACCUUUGAGAUUCUAAGAAGAAUGUCCUUGUGGCAGAAUAUAACUAAACAAUCAUCUUGAGGGAUUAAAAAAAAAUAGACAACUUUCUUCUGGGAAGCUGUGAUAAGGAAGGCCCAGGGACACUGAGACUACUGUUUACUCUUGGAGCUUCUAGAAUGGUCCUGCCCAGAGGGUCAGAAUUAACAAGUAACCUUGAGGAAAAUGGCGACCUCAUUCUAAAGAGAUAGAAUACCUAUGGACAUCACUUAGAAAAAAAGAAAAAGAAAAAAAAAUAAAGUUUCCACCAGAGUAUCAUUGAGCUUUGGAAGGUUCUUGAAAAAUGUUAUUCUUCUAAAUGAUCAUCAGUGGAGAAAGCACUAGGAGAGGAUUUCAGUCCAAUUUUAUGUCCAAUUUUAAUUUCUAUCUGAACUUUCUAGUAAAUGACAAAUAUGGCUGACAAAGAAAGCGGGGUAUCCUUUUCUUCACUUAAAGUAGGACCCAUUCAGGAGGCUGGAGCAUGAGUUACCACAUUCCUCACGAGUAAAUUGGUACCCGAGUCUGCAGAGGAACACAUGGCUAGACUGUGUGCCUGGUCUCAAAGUCAGCUGUGUCCCUUCUAUUCCUGAUAAGCUAUGAGUCCUUAAAGGACGCACAUCAGCCCUCUUGAACCUCAUUUGCAAAAGAGUAAGUAAUAGAAUUGUGAUAGUCUCACUGGGUUAUUAGAAAAUAUUAAAUGAACCAAUAAUACUGAAGUGCUUGGUGCUUGGAACAUACUAGACAUGUGAAGACUAAAGGUCCCCAGAUGGUUCUCAUAGCCACUAAAACUGACACCAGUGACAGAAUAUCCAUAUGGGCCCCCAUUUGAUGGAUGCCAACUUCUGAUUUCAGUAUUGACAGGUUUCCUGCCCUCUCCCUAAUUGGGCCCUUUCCCAGAAUCAAGAUCUUACAGGAAUUACUUAUUUCAUUGUCAAAAGAAGGUUGAGGAUAUCCUGGAUAAAUUUAAGGAUUUCAAGGACUAGAGAUGGCUAAGAAGAGUUUCCCUCAGAAAAAGAUUUGUAAAAUCACAGCCAUGAUUUGCAUUUUUCUAUCCUUGGUCAAAUCAAAUAGAAGCAUUAUUCUUUUAGAAUUGGAGUUUGUCUUAGAGUCUGUAUUCCAAACAAUACCCCAGUGGUUGGCACAUGGGAUAUACUUAUUAAAAUGUGUGGGAUCCUCAAUGAUGAGUCAAUCAAUGGAGAGUCUGCAAACCUUGAUUUUCAAGAUGGAUCUGAGAAUAUAAAAUGUCAUCACAAAUGCAUAAUACUCAACAAUUUGAAUGGAGUUUUGGACCCUCUUCUUUUUGUUAGAGGUAUGGUGAUCGCCUCUAAAGUGGCCCAUGACUACCGUACUCUGAUAUUGAUGCUCUAUGAAAUCUCUUCCCCUUGAAUGUGGGGGGGGGAUCUGAUUUGCUCCUAACAUAUAAAACAUCAUUGAAGAAA